rnacentral:lncRNA from 1 species
CCGGACGAAGGCGGCUCCGCGCUCUUUCUGUCGGCCGGGAAAAUGCAGCCCGAGGUGGCAGAGAGGUGGAAGGAGGACUGAGGCCGAGGCUCCGGUCUCCCUCUGUCCGCCUCACCCUGGGGCCGCCGAGCCCUGUCCAAGAGAAGGGAACCGGGAGUUAGGACUGGACACGUGGGGUGGUGACUCCCUGUCAGAAUCUGUCUGCUUUUGUUCACUCUCCAAUGCCUUCGGAGAGUUGUUCUUCGGUGUAUUUUCAUCCAGAGUUUAUAUCCAGUCCAGCAUAGUGGCUUACUAGGACACACCAUUAUAUUCUUUGGAAAGAAGUCCACACAUUGUCUCUUGACUCAUAUUGUUGCUGACAUCUCGCUACUCCAGGAUCCCAUCGUGUGCAUUGAGAUCAGGGAACCUAUCUUAACAGAUGCCUACCACAGCAUGGCUUUUGCCAAGAGGUGCCAUGUCUGCACCCGGGAUCCGAACCAGCGACCCCCAGGCGGCCAAGAAGCGAAAUGUGCAAACUUAACUGCUGCACCACCGGGCUGGCCCCCUCAUUUCUUUAUAGCCAUUACUCCACCAAGAGUUAUCACUGCACUGACUUCUAACAGCGUGGAUAUUUGGGUAGUUUCCAGUUUAGGGCUAUUACAAGGU